GGAAGAUCUGGGGAAAGUGUUCCAGGCCAGGGGUCAUCACGUGCAAAGUCCCCAGGCAGGUCCAGUGUGUGUGCCGGAAGCUGGGACGUCCCGGUGGAGCCAGAGCCGGAAGUACUGGUUGGUCCUUUUCUGAUCCAAUGUUUGGGGAGGGGCUGGAGGGGCCUCACUCUUAGGACCAGGUCUUCAGACAGGAAACCACACACUGGAAGGCUGUUUCUAGACAGAAAAAGGAACUACCCUCCCUCUGAGGGUCUGCUGGUCCUUACAGUGGAGGCAGCUGAGAGCCGCGGGGCCCCUGGACAGAGCCAGCCAUGGGAAGGCAGUGGGCUCCUGCCGAGUGUAGGUGCUGAGUGGGAGAGAGGUCACUCAGCCCAUGCAGGGAUCAUCACAGCCCUGCGCAGUGCCAGAGGGGGAGGAUGGGCUAGGAUAGGGAGCCAAGGUGGUCAGGAAGGUCAGGAGGCCUGAGCCCUGAGGCCUGAUAGGAGCAGCACCCCCAGGUCAACUUUGAAAAGGGAGAGGCCCCAAAGUGAGAAGCUCUGUCAUGUGGAGACUCCUUCAGCCACCUCAGAGGCCUGGGACUGGGGUCUGUUCCAGGCAUCCCUCCUUCUGGCCUCUGAGGAGGUCACCCUGGGAGACCCCACAGGAUUAUAUCCUAGACCUUUGCCAUCUCCCCAGUCCUCUUGAGGAGGCUUCUUAGAGAGUGAAAAAUGUUCCAGAAAGAGUUUAAAUGAAGGGUGGAGUGGACCAAGUGGGGACAGGGAUGAGGCAGGCAUUUCCUGACAACAGACCCUCCACCCUGUCACAUAGGGAGGGUCUCAAGGUUGCUGUAAAAUAGGGCCAGGCCAAAGAGGAACCUGUGGGGUGAGGACUCCUUAGGGUGGCCUUCCUGUGCAAGCAGAGGUCACCCACGCUGCCCUGGUCCCCUAAGAUGGCUUUGGUGGCAGCAGCUGAGCUGGCUGGUGUUGGGGGAAUCAGGCCUGAAAGCUAGGGGCCCGGCAGGGAGGCCGCCCCCUCCCAGCACGUGGGCCAGCAGGGAUGCAAAGGGAACCUUAGCUGUAGAAACACAGUGCUCAGCGUCCCAGAGUGGUGGGCUCUGCACACCUUCCUCUUUCUCUCUUCUUGGUUAUUUAAUCAUCUCUCUUUUUUUCAGUAUUGAGGAUGGGACUCAAGGUCUUUUUUUUUUUUUUCAGAGAGAGAUAAUUUUAAUAUUUAUUUUUUAGUUCUUGGCGGACACAACAUCUUUGUUUGUAUGUGGUGCUGAGGAUCGAACCCGGGCCAGGCAGCAGGCAUGCCAGGCGAGCGCGCUACUGCUUGAACCACAUCCACAGCCCCUCAAGGUCUUGUGCAUGUGAAUCAAGUGCUCUACCACUGAGCUGAACCCCACACUCUUUGUUUUUUAUUUUGAAACAGGGUCUCACUAAAUUGCCUAGGCUGGCCUCGAACUUGUGAUUCUCUUGCCUCAGCCUCCCCAAGAGGCCAGGAGUACAGGUGUGUGCCACUGCAUCCAGUUCAUCUCUAUUAUUAUUAUUUUUUUUUCAUUUAUUUUUUAGGUAGAUGGACAGAACACAAUGCCUUUAUUUUUAUGUGGCGCUGAGGAUCGAACCCAGGUCCCACCCAUGCUAGGCAAGCACUCUACCGCUGAGCCACAAUCCCAGUCCUUAUUAUUGUUUUUUUCAGCACCAGGGUCUGAAUCUAGGGCCUUAUACAUGCUGAGCAAGUGCUGUACUGCAGAGCUAUAUCCCAGCACUUUAAAAAAAAAAUUUAUUUUGAGACCGUUUCCUGCAAAAUUGCCCAGGAUAGAUUUAAACCUUCAAUCCUCCUGCCUCAGUCUAUCUACUGAGUAGCUGAGUGCCAUUGUGUACCACCAUGCCUGAGUCCUCUCAUUUCUUUUUUACUUUUUUUUGGCGGGGGGUGGGGGGGAGAUGGGGCUUGAACACAGAGGUGCUUAAACACUGAGCCAUUUUUUAUUCUGUAUUUUGAGACAGAUUCUCACUAAGUUGUUUAAAGCUUUGCUAAAUUGGUGAGACUGGCCCUAAAUUUGUGAUCCUCCUGCCUCAGCCUCCUGAGUCACUGGGACUACAUGUGAAUGCCACUGCACCUGGCUUGCUCAUUAUUUAUUUAUUUAUUUAUUUAUAUUUUUCAGAGACACAGGUUUAUUGAAGAAGGAGGUGCACAUUCAAGGGAGAAGGCAGGUUAUCUCCAGGGGCAGAGACAGUCUCUAUUCUUUAAACAGCUUUAUUGAGAUAUGAUUCACAAACCAUAUGAUUCAUUCACUCGUUGUACAAUUUAGUGGUUUCUAAUGCAUUCACAGACCUGUGCAAGCAACACCACAGUCGAUGUUAGAACAUGUCAUCAUCUCAGAGAGAUAUGCCAGGGGCUGGGUGCGGCUCAGUGGUAGAGAACAUGUGUAGCAGCAUGGGGCCCCUGGUUGCAUGCCAUGAGCAGUUGCUCCCACUCCCCUGCCCCUCUGCCCCUGGCUACACCACUCUACUUCCCAUCUCCACACAGUUGCCUAUUGCAGACAUUUCAUGUAAGUGGAAUCACGUACUGUGUGUUCUCCUGAGACUGGCUUCUUUCAUUUAACAUAAUGCUUUCAAACUUCAUCUGUGUUGAAGUGGGUGUUCAACUUCUUCCUAAAGAUGAAUUGUAUUCCAAUGCACCACAUUUGGUUUACUCAUCGGAUGAUGGGCAUUUAGUUUUUUCUACUUCAUAGCUAUUAUGAAUAAUUUCUAUGGACAUUUGCAUGUGAGUUUUCUUGUGGACAUAGGUUUUAUUUCUUUUUUUCCUUUUGCAGUACUGGAGGUGGAACCUGGAGAACCUGGCACAUGAGAGGCAAGCACUCCACCACCAAGCUGCACCUCAGCCCAGCUGUUUUUAGUUCUUUGGGUAUAUAUUUAGGAUUGGGAUUUCUGGGUCAACUGGUGGCUGUCUCUGUAACUUUUUGAGGAAUCACCAGAAGGCUUUUGCCUAGCAGCUGCUCCGUUUUGCAUUCCCACCAGCAGUGGGUUCCACUUUCUCCAACACUGGUUAUUGUCUUUCUUGUAAUGGCCACCCUCAUGGGCAGGAAGUGGUCUCUCAUUGUAGGUUUUUUGUUUUUCUCUUUCUGUUGUCUUGCAUAUGCCAGGAUCCUACUCCACCAUUGAGCUGUACCUCCCGCCCUUCAUUGGAGUUUUGAUUUACAUUUCCCUAGGUUGUGAGAGUUCUUCUAUAUUCAGAAGUCAUUUGGGGGAUUGAACUGAGGAGCACUUUACCACUGAGCUAUUUUUUUUUUUUCUUUUUUAGCAGUGUCAGGGAUUGAACCUAGGGCCUUGUGCAUGCAAGGCAAGCACUCUACCAGCUGAGCUCUAUACCCAGACCACCACUGAGCUUUAUUCCCAGCCUUUUUAAUUCUGAGGCAGGGUCUUGCUAAAUCGCUGAGUUUCUCACUAAAUUGCUGAAGUUGGCCUCGAGGUUGUGAUCUUUUUCCCACAGCCUCCCAAAUUGCUGGGAUUACAGGUGUGCAUCACCAUGUCCACCAAGAAAAGGUCUAAUAUCUAUGAAGUCCAGUUUAUCUAUUUUUUUAUUUUGCUUUGGGCAUUACUAUUAUUUAUUUUUGGUUGUACUGAGGAUAGAACCCUGAACCUGGUGUAACCAGGCAAGUACUCUACGAC
rnacentral:lncRNA from 1 species